CAUAGUUGCUGUUUGCCAUUAUUUUUCGAUCCCUAAAUCUGUCCAAACAAAAACAAUCCGCUCAUUCAUUCAAAAUGCAUUCUAGUACAGGGUUUCCUAACAAACAAUCCAUACUUCCUUUCUAAAUUGAUGAAAAAACAACUUUCAAGCAUAAGAUUAAACCCUCUGUUGGUUGCCGAAAACAAGCAAACUGAAAAGAAGUGAAUAGUUUCAAUGUUUUUCCUUUUACCAAGUUUAUGAUUAAGAAAACGAAAUCGAAUUCAAUCUAAAGCAGAGUGAAUCGUCAAAAUACAGAAUCAGAAACAAAAAACCUGAGCAUGAUCAAAAUAUUGACAAGAAACAAAACCCUAAAAGUCCCAAAUUUUCGAGACAUGUCGCGCGAAUCAGAUCGGAAAACGAGAGAAAUGAGAAUUCCUUACCCGAAGAAUUCGAUUCACGCAACUUCCACUUGAAGGCAUUGAAUCUUAUCUGAACAAGUAAAGUUUAUUCGUGUUUAGUUUGGGGUUUUUGGAUUCGAACUGGAAUGGGCACGAUCGGCUAGGGUUUGGGGGUUCGAGAAACGUAACGAGUUUCGAAGUUUUAUUGGUAUUUUUGGCUAAUUUUGUUAAUCAGAAUGAC
rnacentral:lncRNA from 1 species